ACUGAGGGACAGCCUCUGCCUAGGGAGCCACCUUUGGUGGACGUUCAGGAUCCUUCAACACAAACGUGAGGUAGUGACACUGAGUUCAGACAUGCAGAGCUGUGAAGGCCACAUGGUGCAUUUGGUGGCUGGAAUGUCCUUUACCAGAACCAGAGACAGCCCAGUAGGGGUGGGGAAGGGAGGAAGGAGGUGACGGGAUCCUGGUAUCUGAGCCCCAGGGUCCCCCACUGCCUGUGUCAACAUAAGUGCUCACGGGCACCCUGCAUUGCAAAAGCUGAGAAGGGGAAGGAAGUGGCGCCAUAUGAGAGCCACAAGAUUGAUGGGGCACUGACCUCAGACUCAAUCACAGUCACCCCCUGCAUGCCCCUCUGGCGGCAUGUAGGAGAAUAAAGAAGAGCCAGCUACACACGGACCUAUAAGCUUAGAGGGAUCUGACCCGUCUUCUACUGCAUCUCAACCCACUGAGUGUGGUCUGCUGACCUUUCUGUUCGCUCCCACCCCUUAUUUUGCUGUCACCUGUCCAGACAGGCUCUUCCUCCAGUCCUUUAUGUGGCUACUUUCUCUUCCCUUGGGUGUUCCUAGGGGCCUUCCCAGACGGCAUGAGGUUAACAACUGCCCAGAAGGAUUUUCACCAUCACACUCAAUAGAUCAGGCUGUCCCGGCUCAGCUAUGGCUGAGCUACUGUUUUGUGCUCUGCUCCACGGUGGGAAAUACUAUCAGAGCAGGCACCUUUGAGAACCUUUUGCCAUUCAUUCUGAGUACUUUCCAGUGCUUGCGAAUGGCAGCUGUUCAUAAAGCAUUGGUUGAAUAAAUGAAUUCAAAAAGGAGCAAGCUUAAGCAGCCGCAUUUACAAGAACAAAACCAGGAAGCUAAAAGCUAAAAUAAGCUGCCUUGGCAAAGCCAGAGUCAACAUCAAAUACCUGAGCUUUAAACUUGUGUGUGUGAUUUUUUUGUUUGCAUAUAUAUAUACACAUAUAUAUAUACAUAUAUGUGUGUGUUCAUAUAUAUUAUUUUUUAUUUUAUAUGCAUUGGUGUUUUGCCUGCAUGCAUGUCUAUGUGAGGGUGUCAGAUCCCUUGGGAUGGAGUUACAGUUAUAAGACAGUUGUGAACUGUCCUAUGGGUGCUGAGGAUUGAACCCAGGUCCUUUGUGAGAACAACCAGUGCUCUUAACACUCCAGCCCCUGUUUGCUUGGUUUUUGAGGUAAGGUCUCAUGUAGGCUAGGUUGUUCUGUAACUCACUGUGUAGCCAAGGGUGACUUCAAACUUCUGUUCUUCCUGCCUCUACCCUCAGAAUGCCACCAUGUCCCGUAUAUGUUGUGAGUGGAGCGGCGGGCUACGUUCCUGGCACCCGGCUGCCCGCACGGCUAGCUUUAUACCCGAAAUAAUUACACGGAAACUGUAUUCUUUUGAACACUGCCUGGCCCAUUAGUUCCAGCUUCUUAUUGGCUAGCUCUUACAUGUUGAUCUAACCCAUUUCUAAUAAUUUGUGUAGCCCACAAGGUGGCUUACCAGGGAGGAUCUUAACCUGCGGCUGUGUCGGGUGGGAGAAUCAUGGCGACUGCCGGACCCGGCUUCUUUCUCCCAGCAUUCUAUUCAGUCUUCUCCGCCUACCUAAUUUUCUGUCCUAUCAAAGGGCCAAGGCAGUCUCUUUAUUUAACCAAUGAAAUUAACACAAAACAGAAGACUCUCCCCCAUCAAGUAUAUGUAGUGCUUGGUAAUUAAUCCUGGGCUUUGACCAUGCGUGGCUAGUACUCUACAGCUUGAGCUACAGCCCCACCCUGGGUUUUAUUCAUUCUUCUACUUGAUUUUAGAGAUGUAUUUAUUUUUCUUUUAUGUGUAUGGAUGUUUUACCUGUAUGUAUGUAUAUAUGUAUGUGUAUGUAUGUAUGUAUGUGUGUAUAUGUAUGUAUGCAUAUAUGUGUGUAUAUGUAUGUAUCUAUACCACAUUGAGUGUCUGUUCCUCUCACAAGUCUGAAGAGGAUGUCAGAUCCACUGGAGCUGGAGUUACAGACAGUUAUGAGCCACCAUAUGGAUUUUGGGAACCAAACCUGGGCUCUUUGGGAAAGCAACCAGUGUGCUUAAUCGCUAAGCCAUUUCUCUAGUCUUUCAGCCCAGUUUUUAACGUUUUAUAUCAGGGAAGAAGCUCAGCUGUAACAUAGAAGGAGAGUCCAUGGAAGCAUAAGGCUCAGGGUUUGGUGGUCAGAAAGGAGUGGGGAUUGCACCCCGAUUUUGCUUUCCACUGUGGGGAGGGAUAAUAUACUUUGGUUAAGACAAAGAGAAGGCAGGGAGUAAUGACACAUAUCAUCAACCCCAGCCCUUAAGAGGCAGAGGCAGGUGGAUCUCUUGAGUUCAUGGCCAACCUGGCCUACAUAGCAAGUUUCAGGACUGUUAGAACUACAUAGUAAGACAUGGUCUUAAAUUAAAUUAAAUUAAAUUAAAUUAAAUUGGCAGACAGUGACAGAAAAGGCUGCUCUCAAAAGCCAUCUCUAUUGUGGAAUAUUCCUUCACACUGUGUGAAGAUGUGUCACUGUGGUUUAUUAAAACGCUAAAUGGCCAAUGGCUAGGCAGGAAGAAUAGCAGGAACUUUCUGGACAGAGAGAGCUCUGGGAAUAAUAAAGGUGGGGUUGCCAGCCAGAGGCAGAAAGAGAACAAGACAUGCAAGUGGGGAGGUAAAAGCCAGGAGUCACAUGCAAACAUGUAAAUGAUUAGGAAUGAGUUAGUUUAAGUUAUAAGAGAUAGUAGGAGUAGCCUAAUCUAUAGGCCAAGCUUUCAUAAUUAAUAAUAAGCCCUGUGUCACAAAAAUGUUCACAAAAAUGUGAACUGGUGGCCCAAAGAAAAUUCAUCAGCACACCUUUGCCUCUCUUGGAAGAUGUUUCGGUGUUUCAGGAUCCUCGGAUACCAAGAUGUGGUGAUGAAGCUCAGGUCACAUCAGACCCAGCUCUGUCCUCCACUAGCCACGGAGCUAGGCAGACAUGACUAGGCAGACAUGACACGCCAAUCCAGGAGAGUGAGAGGAACGAUAAAAUUCACUAGAUGUCACUCAUCUUCAGGGAUCCACGAAGAGAAAGUUUCCUCUUCUGCUGAGAGAAACCCAAAGAAAGCAGCAGAGAAUGACGAUCCCGGAGGCUGGGCAUGACGGUGUGCCCCUGACACUCCAGCACUUCUGAGGUGGGGCCUUGAGAGUCCUGAGUUCGAACGAGGCCCUGGGGGUGUAGAAAGAGAAGGGAAGGGCAUGAACACUCCUGUUCUUGGGAGGGGAGGGGCAAGUAAGAGAAGGCAGCCAUUCACUUCGGCACAGAGCAAGCUUCAGAAACUUUGUAUCUGUUCCCACCACCAGGAGAGCCAGAUGGAGCAGAGAGCAGACAGCUCAGAGCCAAGUACAGCUUCUGUAGGCUGGCCCACAGAAAAUAGCAGUUGAGAAUAUACCCCUCUAUUGUCUUCUCUGUCCUCUUAGCUCCCAGGAAUGAGGAAUGUGACUAUCCAUGUACUGGGAUUAAUGGGGGGCAGCAAUGAAUUACCUCCCAUCACGGUGACGAAUCACCUGAGGUCUGGAAACUUUUAAGGAGAAAAAGUUAACACUUGGCCCAUGGGUUUAGUUCAUAAUUCCUUGGUCCAGCUGCUUUGGGGCCGUGGUGACUCAGGAGCCGCAUGGCUGGGAACUUGUGGUGGACGGUGGCAGCUGGGAAUCAAAGGGUGAAACAGGAAGGGCCUCCUGUCACAAAAUCUCCUUUAAGGACAUCCAAUUUUCUAAUUUCUUUCCACCAGGCCUCACUUCCUGAAGGUACUGCAAGUGUUCAGAAGCUUCAGAAGUACCAAGCCUUGGACACUUGGACCUUUGGGGAAAAUCUUCAAGAUAUAUACUGGUCAUAGUGAUAGUGAUUUUUUUAAAAUAAUUUUAUUCAUUUAUUUAUUUUUGUUUUGUAUCUUUUGUUUUUUUUCAGAGAUAGGAUUUCUCUGUGUAACAGUUCUGGCUGUCCUGGAACUCACUUUGAUGACCAGGUUGACCUCAAACUCACUGAGAUCUGCCCAUCUCUGCCUCCCAAGUACUGGGAUUAAAGACAUGUGCUGCCACCGCUGGAUAAUAACUUUAAUUUUUAUUCUCUUUUACAUCUUGUGGGGAGGUGGGGGGGGUGGGGUGUGUGUGUGGCAGAAAUUCCUGUCAACCUGGCACCAGAGGGUUAGCAAGCAACUCCUGCUGGGCCUUACCUGGUCUAGCUCUGAUGUUAACACCCAGCCCUAAUCCAUUUUUGUUACAGAUACCUUUUGUUACCCUAUGUAAAUCUUGUCUGAGAGUUUCCCAUGGAUACAAAGCCUAUGCAAAACUUGGUUAAGGGCAACCCAGAAAACCAUGAAACCUCAUGAAUCAGUGAGUUGGUCUCCCUGGUGGUCUUUUGGGGUCCCCACUGACCGGGCACAACACUUGGGGGUUCAUCUGGGAUUCCCAGAGACCCUUAUCCGGACCCCUGACCCAAAGGGUUAUUCGGAUCAACCGUGAAGACAAUGACCUAAGCAGUUUGAUAGAGGACAUGGAACAGCGUUGAAGCCUGCGGGUCUCAGUCUUUUGGGGAUUGAACACGUCCUGGCUCACUCUGCCCUCACUCUGACCUCUGCUCAGCUUCCAGCUCCACCUCAUCUGCAUCUGGACCCAUGCUGUUCCUCAAGCCUAGAACUUUCCAUGACUCAGUACUCUUGGUCCCUCAGGACUUGACCCAGUAGUCACCUUUUCUGAAAAGUCUCCCCUAAUUUCCCUAGAGAGGUUGGGUUACCUCUCAGAGCCCCUGUUACAGCUCAUGUCAUACUAUCUGUUCAUCUGUCUAUUUCUCCAGGGCUUAGAGACUUUGGGGAACGGGUUUUGUUUCUUUCCCCCCCAACAAAAUGAGAUAACCCAGCACUAUGGUGAGCAUGUAAUAGAGGGUCAACAAACGUCUGUCUUAGCUAAGGUUUCUAUUGCUGUGAAGAAACACCAUGGCCACGACAACUCUUAUAAAGGAAAACAUUCCAUGUGGUGGCUCACUUACCAUUCAAAGCUUCAGUCCAUUACUGCCAUGCUGGGAAGCAAGGCAACAUGCAACCAGACAUGGUGUUAGAGGAGCUGAGAAUCCUUCAUCUUGAUAGGCAACAGAAAGUGGUCUGUCUCAUGGGCCUGGCUUGAGCAUAUACGAGACCUCAAAGCUCACCUCCACAAUGAUACUUUCUCCAAGGCCGCAUCUAAUCUAACAAGGCCACACCUUUUAAUAAUACUCCCUUUGGGACCAUUUUCUUUUAAACCACCACAAUGUUUAUACCUUAAUUAGUGUGAUAGUUAUCUGUGCCAAUUUGACACAACCAAUCACCUGGGAAGGAAGUCUCCAUGAGGGAUUGUCUGCAAUGGGUUGACAAUCCUCAAUUUAUUUAUACAUAUAUAUGUGUGUGUGUGUAUAAUAUCUUAUAUAUAUGAUUUAUGCAUAUAUCUUAUAUAAAAACAUUCCAAAAUACUAUAUUCUAUAUUAUAAUAUAGAAUAUAAAUACUACAUGCAAAAUAUUGCAUUAUAUAUCAUAUAAUGUUAUAAUUACACACAAUAUAUAAUAUACAUUAUACACAAUACUAAAUAUAUGAUAUACUAUAUAAUAUAUGCUGUGUAAUAUAUAUUAUACAAAACACUAUAUCACUCUGGCCAAAAGCACCUCUGCAGGGGAAGGACUGUUUCAGCUUACAGGUCACAGCCUAUCAAUGAGAGAGGUCAGGAAAAACAGGAAGAACAAUGUUUGCUGGCUUCCUCACAGACCCAUGCUUAACUACCUACCCUUUUUUUCCUUUAUAAAUAAAAAUCACUUUGCUGUAAUACACUCAGAAAUAAAAUACACCACACAGCUAGAUCAAAAUAGUCACUUAAACAAAUGGUCGCCCAGUCCCAAACUCCAUACAUCUCAAUGAAUUUCUAUAUAGCUAGAAUGGCUGUUUGGAAGCUAUGGAGUUCUAGUUAGGGUUUUAUACUUUAUCGUUUACUUUUUAUGCACUUACCAACUACAAAAAAAAAAAAUACCGUGACAGAGUUGAUAUCCACCUACAGAAUAAUGAAAUUAGAUUCAAAUCUCUCAUCUUAUAAAAAGCUCAGUUGGAAAUGGAUCAAAGAUAUUAAUUUAAAUCCCCAAAAGCUCACACUUCUGGAUGAAAGCAUAGGCUUCACUCAUUGUGACACUGGGGCAGGCAGGACGCCCUGAGCAGAGCACAGUAGCACAGGGACUUGCCCCAAGUGCCGACAGACGGGACAACUUGAAGGUAAAAGUCUCUCUGCACAGCAAAGGAAGCCAUCAGCAGAGCAAAGAGACAGCCCAAGGAAUGGGAGACAGUCUUUACCAACUACACUUCAGACAAAGAACCGAGAUCUAGAAUUUACAUAUAGUUAAAUGCCAAGGAAGAAAUGAAAUGCCAAGAUGUUAAUAAUAAUCAUCCUCAAUCAUCACAUGAACUGUUUCAAAACAAGAAAAAAGAAAGUAGCCAAUAACUGUUCUUGAAAGAGUUCAACAUCUCCAGUCGUCAGAUAAAUGCAAAUUUAAACUACUUUGAGACCCCACCUCACCCUAGUCAGAAUGGCUGUCAUCAAGAAAUCUGACAGCAAAUGCUGGAGAGGACAUGGGAGAAGAGAGUCGGUGCUCUAUCAGCUUAUUAGAACUCUUAUUGGAAUUCCUAUUAAAAUUGAUCAAUGUUAAAACUCUGAACUUCAGAAAUCUUAGCAUAACAAUAGCAUAUAGGGGAAAAGAAAUAUUUUUUAUUUUAUUAUGUCUUACAUUAUUUAUGUCUUUCUAAUUUGUAUUCAUACAGUUUAUGUUAUUUUUAUUAUUAUUUACCAGGAGACACAGGUGAUUGAUUGCUGAGAGCAAUCAUUGUUAAUUGAGUUCCUUUUAAUAAAGGAAUGAUAAAAAAUUACAUUGAAAUCUGUUUUGUGAGCUUAUGUCUUCUGUAACUCUGGUAACAAGGUAAACUGUGUCUAAGUUUAGCAGUAGGAAGGAGAGAGAGAGAGAGAGAGAGAGAGAGAGAGAGAGAGAGAGAGAGAGAGAGAGAGAGAGAGAGAGAGAGAGCUGAGAAGGCAGCCGAAGCCUUGGUUACCAUUGUUAAACUGACAAAGCCAUCAUUAGCCUAGUCAUCAAAUACCAUCAGAUUUAAAAAAAAGACUUACUGUGUAUAGGAGGGCUACUGACUUUUUGGAGUUGAUCUUGUAUCCUGCCACAUUAUUAAAGGUGUUUAUCAGCUGGAGGAGUUCUUUGGUAGAGUUUUUGGGGUCGCUUAUGUACACUAUCAUAUCAUCUGCAAA